CACAGUGUAGCAAUACAUGGGUGGCGACCGGCAAACGGGUGCGGAACACGUACGCAACCUUCCUUCAGGCGGGGAAUAGCCCAGAGAAAUUUGGAUUAAUACCCCAUAAUAUUUUGAGAUGGCAUCAUCUUAUUAUUAAAGCUACGGCACCUGGAGAUGGGCGUGCGGCUGAUUAGGUAGUUGGCGGGGUAAUGGCCCACCAAGCCUACGAUCAGUAGCUGAUGUGAGAGCAUGAUCAGCCACACGGGCACUGAGACACGGGCCCGACUCCUACGGGAGGCAGCAGUAAGGAAUAUUGGUCAAUGGACGCAAGUCUGAACCAGCCAUGCCGCGUGGAGGAUGAAGGUCCUCUGGAUUGUAAACUUCUUUUAUCUGGGACGAAAAAAGGGUUUUUCUAACUUGUCUGACGGUACCAGAUGAAUAAGCACCGGCUAACUCCGUGCCAGCAGCCGCGGUAAUACGGAGGGUGCAAGCGUUAUCCGGAUUCACUGGGUUUAAAGGGUGCGUAGGCGGGCAUUUAAGUCAGUGGUGAAAUACCUGAGCUUAACUUGGGAACUGCCAUUGAUACUAUUUGUCUUGAAUGUCGUGGAGGUUAGCGGAAUAUGUCAUGUAGCGGUGAAAUGCUUAGAUAUGACAUAGAACACCUAUUGCGAAGGCAGCUAACUACGCGAAUAUUGACGCUGAGGCACGAAAGCGUGGGGAUCAAACAGGAUUAGAUACCCUGGUAGUCCACGCCCUAAACGAUGAUUACUCGACAUUAGUGAUACACUGUUAGUGUCUGAGCG
rnacentral:rRNA from 1 species